GACAAGCCCAGGGCUGCUGUAGAGACAAGAGUUUUUCCAUGUAGGCCCGGCUGGCCUCGAACUCCUGACCUCAAGUGAUCCACCUGCCUCCCAAAGUGGGAUUACAGAUACAUGAAGUUAUGAAUUUAAGAUGUGAAGAUUUACAGCUUGAUAAACCAGCUUCAGGAGGACAUGAUCUUAUGAAUUCAACACAUGAAGAUUUACAACUUGAUAAACCAGCUUCAGGAGAUCAGAACUUCUUAUAAUACAACUGACGUUACUCAGCCUAGAACAAAUACAACAGGGAUUGUGCUGCAUUCUGACUUGGAUUCUGCCAUCGAACACAGAAUGCCCUGAUCCUUAGAUGCAGAGGCAGCUCUUCAGCCUAUUUUUCCCUAGGGCUGCUGUAAAAUAUUACAGGCAUACUUUGGAGAUGUUACGGGUUUGGUUCCACAUCAC
rnacentral:lncRNA from 1 species